UAGGGAAUCUUCCACAAUGGACGAAAGUCUGAUGGAGCAACGCCGCGUGAGUGAAGAAGGUUUUCGGAUCGUAAAACUCUGUUGUUGAAGAAGAACGUGCGUGAGAGUAACUGUUCACGCAGUGACGGUAUUCAACCAGAAAGUCACGGCUAACUACGUGCCAGCAGCCGCGGUAAUACGUAGGUGGCAAGCGUUAUCCGGAUUUAUUGGGCGUAAAGCGAGCGCAGGCGGUUACUUAAGUCUGAUGUGAAAGCCUUCGGCUUAACCGAAGAAGUGCAUCGGAAACUGGGUGACUUGAGUGCAGAAGAGGACAGUGGAACUCCAUGUGUAGCGGUGGAAUGCGUAGAUAUAUGGAAGAACACCAGUGGCGAAGGCGGCUGUCUGGUCUGCAACUGACGCUGAGGCUCGAAAGCAUGGGUAGCGAACAGG
rnacentral:rRNA from 1 species